rnacentral:lncRNA from 1 species
CUAAGCUCAGUCUCACCCAGUCCUUCUGAUGUUAGGACAAGCUGGAUCACAAGGGGAUUUAUUUUCUGCAACACUUCCUUACCCUUUAACUCUACAUCCUGCUGUUCUGAGAGGGUCCUCCACCUGGGAGCCUUCCCUACCCAGCAGCAUGCUGCAGACAGGCAGCUCCUUCACUGCAGAGGACCCUCAAGGAAAUGGAAGCCUCUCUGUGAGAGAAGAGGAUCAAGGAAACCAGGCUGAGGGAUUCACAUGGGCUGCACAGAUUUCAGAGCUAGUGUUAAGGUACUGCAGCAUCUCUUCCUGGAUCCAGACCUCUGAGUAGUAAAAUAAUGAUGAACAUAGCUAUAUUGUUACUAUAUUAUCCAAACAAUGAGUUCUAAGUAUGCAAUGUUUAAUAGGCCUCUAUAAAAGUAUUUGACAAAUGUCACGAGUAAGAAAAAAAGAAAAGGGAAAAUAUAUAGCUGUUAUUACAGAACAGGUUUUAUUUAUUUAUUUAUUUACUGCUUGGAACAUUAUGUGUGCAACUUUCAAAAAUAUUUGUAAAACUGACUGUAUACAAAACCAAAAAUAGAGAAACAGAUAUUCUAUGUGUGACAGUGUUGACGUGGCAUGUCUGUCUUCUUUUUCUCCCUUGCUCAUCAUAGAACAAUUCGUUGCAAGAUAUCUAUGCCAUGUACCUUGUUUCAUGAGUGCACAUCUGCAAAAGUACUAUGGCAUGGGUAUUAGUGAGAGUCAGUGGCAUUUCUUAUUCUUAUUAGUACUUCAUUAAAACAAAUUUAAUGGAAUUAGCAAACAUCAAAGUCUGCAAAAUAUCCUUGCACUAUAUAUCAAUACACCAAACAACUUUGCAACGUUGUUAACUGCAGAAAAAUCAUUGCAGAGCUUUACCGACUCUAUGCACUUCAAAACAGCUCACUUAAAAUCCCCCAUUCCUUUGAUCAAAUACCUGGGAAAUAUGCCUUAGUGCAUUGACAGUCUGGAAUAAUCGUGCCUCAGUCAUUCUAAUGCAUAGUUAAUGUUCAAAAUUACAUACAGAUUUUUUUUCCCCUGUGGUGUGUUAAGG